rnacentral:tRNA from 1 species
GGUGGCUCAAUGGUAGAGCACUUGCCUUGCAUGCAUGAGGCCCUGGGUUUGAUUCCUCAGUACCA